rnacentral:lncRNA from 1 species
UCUCUCUCAGCCGGAGAGGAGAGGAAAACAACCAGGAGACCCCACCCUUAAGACAGGCACCCUCCUGCCUGAGUGGUGGGUGGCUUAGCCCCCCAGGAAAGUCUGAAGCCUUCUGGGCUUCUACCUCAGCUCCCUCUUGGCUCAGGACAGAUGAGGCCACAGGCGUUGGGGGACGACGCCUGUGAGGACACAGCAGAGGCCGGGGCUGUGGGAGUUUGCCAAAGACCAUGAACCAAAGGCUUGGUCCACGGCCUGUGGCACCACUGGGAGGUGGGGAGGGGGGCUGUUGGAAGGAAGUGAGGUCAUGGGGGGUGUGGCCUGGAAGGGAUGUUGGGACCACACCCUUCCCGCCAGGGCCUUCCUGCCUCACCACUGGGCCCAAAGCAACACAGCUGGCUGCCCACCGACGGGAACCUCUGAAACCUUGAACCAACGCGAAACUUCCCUCCUUCCAAGCUGUUCCUCUCAGGGGUUUUGUCGUAGCAACGCACGGAGGACUCACAGAGGUUACUGCACCUCAGUCAUCUUCCGGCCCUGUUCUUGGCUGAGUGGCUUAAUCCUCCUGACUUUGGUCUCCCUGCCAAUGAGACAUCAUCAUGAGGAUAAAAGGAGACCAUGAGCUCAGACUUCCGGCCUGGGCCUCUUCUGGAGCAGGGAAACAAACGGUGGGGCAGACCUUGCUGUUACAACUGCAGGUUGAAGACCCGCUUUCCAAAAUGCUUGGGAUCGCGAGUGCUUCAGACGUCAGAGACUUUGCACUGUAGAAUGUGCAGUUAUACAGAAUGAGUUGUCCUGGAGAUCAGACCCAAAUCUAAACACAUGACUCAAGUAUGCUUCACAUCCACGCUACCCACAUGGCCUGAAAGCAGUGCUGUACAAUGUUUAGUGCGCCUCCAUCUGGACAGGCACAUGCCCUGUGAAUCAGAGAAGAAAUUUUCCACUGUGGCAUCCUGUUGGUGGUUGAAAGUCUGGAACUCUGAAGUAUUCUGGAGUCCAGAUUUUGGUGCGAGGAUGCACAGCAUGCUCUUCUAUUAUUAUUCACUGCAGCCGGCUGACACCGUUGCUCCGGUCUCGCAGCUGCCGUCUACAAACCCUGUGGCCAACUCUAGGUGUAAGGUCAACAGUAGCACCUUUCUGGACGACCUUCUCAACUUGGAAUGUGGGAUGCGUUUGCAAAGUUCUGUGGUCACCAGGCGAGAGCACGACAGUAACACAGGUCUCAAAUCACCACAGAGCGACGAGCGCAUGCUUCUCAGGGUCCUGCAGUGUGGCUGCAGAGAAAGGCGUGCAGCAGAUCGCUCCGGGCCGCUCGUUUCCACACGGGACCGACCACGACCUCUGCAACCUGGGGCCGCCCCCUCCAACCCUCGUGCUCUGGCUGCCUCGGUCACAUUAUCAGAAAAUUAAUGUCAACUCCGAUUCUUCUUUUCAAGGUAAAUCUUUGUAAUAGAAAAUUGAUUGCCUGGCUUUGUUCCGGUUACGGCCAGCACCACCACACUUGUCCAUGCAAGCAAUGUCUCUCUCUCUCUCUCUCUGCUUAGUCUCACUGUGUUUUUCUAUUUAUUCCCUCUCAUCCACAUUCGUCUCUCCUACCUCACACAGCCACCCACCACGCCCUUGCUCUCAGACACUGUGAAGGUGAAGUUGCACCGUGCUUCGAGUGGACGUAGUCUAAUUUCAAUCUCGUAAGUAGAACCAUGUUGCAGGUCUCUUGCAGUUUCUUGCCUUGCGAGUACAGCACUGUUUUCAUGUCAGUCUUAUUCUCUCGAGUCUCUCUACUUCACCACUUCUAACUGCUCCAGUCCAUGUGUGCAGAUUGUCUUUUGCCCUUUCUGGGGCACACAGUCCUUCUUUGUCCAGCGCCGGGACUAUGCAGCUGAUCUCCACAUACAGUCCCACGGCCUCUGGCUUCUGGCUGUUGACCAGCGGAGACUGGAGAGAGACACCUCGAGUUCGGUGCUGUCAUGUGCCUUGCUCUCUUCUCUCAUCCUUCCCUACGUCUGGGCGUGGGGCAGGGGUCCGUUCCUUUGUGCCCCUCACUUCUGCUAGCCAGCUCCUCUUCUGUGCCUCCCAGUGUGCAGGGCUCCGUUUACUCCUUUCCCCGCUUAUCCCCCGGCCUAGUUGCCAGACCCAGAGCUUCUCCCUUAGGUGCUGACCUCUUGCCUUCGUGCCCCAUGGGAAGCAGUAACUUCAUUAACUUCUCUUCUGCUAAGCUCUCCGAGCCUACCACCUCUUUCCUCUUGGGGAGCGUAGUUGCUGUGGUGCCCAGGGUCUGCAUCCAUUCCUUGUUAUCCAUGUCAUCUUGCAGGAAUGGUGUGAUGGUUAAUUUCAUGUGUAAACUUGGCUGGGCCACGGUACCCAGAUGUUUCUGUGAAGAUGAUUUUGGAUGAGGUUACCAGAGAAAUUCACGGGUUUAGAGGAGAGAAGACUGCCUCCAUGUGGGUGGUCCUCAUCCAAUCAGUUGAAGACUUCAGUAGAACAAAAGACCUCCCAGAGGCACAGGGGAUUCUGCCAGCAGACGGCCUUCCAACUUGAACUGCAUCAUUGGCUCCCGCCCGGUCUCCAGCCUGCCAGCCCACCCUGUGGAUUCUAGAUGUGCCAGCCUCCACGAGUGUGUGAGCCAGUUCCUCGGCAUAUAUCCUACUUGCGCUGUCUCUCCGGAGAACUGUAAUACACGUGGGCACCCAGGUCGCCCCAGUGUCCAGCUACCACUCACAGUGCUGUAAGGAGCAUAUUCCCUUAUGGGACCAAAAGAGAACUGCUUUGGUUUCUACACCUGGAAGUGAAAUUUCUGGGUCCUAAUAUAAUAACAGCUUUUAGUAUUACAAAGCAUAAUGCUCUAACAAAUCAUAACAUUUUACAAUUAUUUGCAGUGUCUACCAUGUGCCAACUAUUAUAUCUGGGAACUACUGACAGAAUUAUCUACAAAAUAAAUGUGGUCCCUGGCCAUACUGAACUUUCAGCAGAAAAGCAUAUAAAUGAUCUGCUACACAGUUGGUGCCCAAUAAAAGUGCAACUAUUUUUGAGACCAAAA